GAGUAUGUGGUUUAAUUCGACGCAACGCGAAGAACCUUACCAGCUCUUGACAUGUCCAUUAUGGGUCUGAGAGAUCAGAUCCUUCGGUUCGGCCGGGUGGAACACAGGUGCUGCAUGGCUGUCGUCAGCUCGUGUCGUGAGAUGUUGGGUUAAGUCCCGCAACGAGCGCAACCCUCACCUUUAGUUGCUACCAGGUUAUGCUGGGCACUCUAGAGGAACCGCCGGUGAUAAGCCGGAGGAAGCGGGAUGACGUCAAGUCCUCAUGGCCCUUACGGGCUGGGCUACACACGUACUACAAUGGUGGUGACAGUGGGAUGCGAAAGCGCGAGCUGGAGCGAAUCCCCAAAAGCCAUCUCAGUUCGGAUUGCACUCUGCAACUCGAGUGCAUGAAGUUGGAAUCGCUAGUAAUCGUGGAUCAGAAUGCCACGGUGAAUACGUUCCCGGGCCUU
rnacentral:rRNA from 1 species